UUAAUCAGUUAUAAUCAGUACAUAUUUAUAGAACUGCACAUUAAAACUUGAAGUAAAAGCCACAUAUGUAUAUAACCAAAAAAUCUAUAAACAUUACGUAGGUUGCCUUUUAUAUUUUGCGAUUUGACAACUCAAGUAUUGCAAUCUGGCGACUCACAACUUUGUCGUAAAGUUUGACAUUUUUGUCACAUACUCAAAACGUUUUGAAAUACGAGCGCUAUUUGCGUUGUUUACAGUUACUUAAAAUUUUCAUCUCAGCCAAAAUAUGGAAUUAAAUCGCGAACAUUUUUGCGCGGUUUUUUCAAAACUUUCGGCGUAGGUUAUCUCAGCAACAGUGCUUCGAUGAACUUAAUUUAGUUUUUGCAAAUACAGCCCAGCUAAAGACCAGUGUUUAUCGAUGGUAUAGUGAAUACAAUUGGGUUCGUAGAUCACUUCAACACGAAUUUCGUGAAUGUCGUCCAAAACCAGUUCUUGUUUCCAAGGCUGUUGAUGCUGUGUGCAAACUGAUAUUGCAAGAUCUUUAUGUGACUAUAGACAUUAGCGGGACUAUCAUAAAUUCAAUAUUGCAUUAACAUUUGAUUGUAUAAAAAAAUUUUCACAUGGACUCUCACACAAUUUGUUGAUAGUUAAAAGAAGACUUCCGUGUGAUUGGUCGAGGGAAAUGUUAAAAAAAUGCGACAAAAAAUAUGACAGGUGAUGAACCGUGGAUUUAUAAGUAUGAGCUUUUCCUCACGACAAUGCGAGUUUUCACACAUCGAUUGAAAUAACUGCAUUUUUGAACACUUAAAAAGUCGAUUUGAUGAGUAAUCCACCGUAAAGUCUUGACUCGGCACCUAAUGACUUCAUUUUAUUCCCGUACGGGAAAAAAUUAAUUAAGAAGUCAUCGUUUUCCGAGACUUGUAAAGGCGAACACAUGUUUUGGAGAUACCUCGAUUAGAGUGGAAAAAGUGCUGCAUGUAAAAGUGUUUUGAUAGAAUAAACCACGUCCAGCACGUCGCGAAGAAAAUGUAGCGGCCGUAGCUGAUAGUGUACAAGAAGACCAUGGAAAGUCGAUACGGCGCCGUUCGCAGCAACUCGCACUAACGUAUGGAACGACUUGGCGCGUUUUACCUCAAGAUCUUAAAUUGAAAACGUAGAAGAUAUAGAUGGGGUAUGAACUGAAGCCUCAAGACUUUCCCAAGCGACACUUGGACUCUUGAAAAGUUCCAAGAAGAUCCGACGUUUUCGAGCCAAAUUUUGUUCAGCGAUAAGGCCCAUUUCUGGCUCAAUGGGAAUGUAAAUAAGCAAAAUUGCCGCAUUUGGGACGAAGAAAAAUAAACGGUUGGGUGUUGUUUGUGGGCCGGUGAAAAAUCGGUCCAUUUUUUUUUUUUGUUUUUUAACGUAACCGUCAAUCGUGCCAUUAUAACCGACUAUUUGAUGCCUGGAAUUGAAGUUCGUGAUCUCGGCGACACGUUUUGGGUCAGUCUAUUGGCCAUCAAAAUCGUGUGAUAUCGCACCGUAAGACCUUUUCCUGUCUGAAUAAGUCUAAAGUCUAUGCGGAAAAUUCCGUCUCGAUUCAUUAGCGAAACAUUACGAGUGUCAUUCGCCAGUUACGAGUCGAAAUACUUAAACGAGUCAUCGAAAAUUGGAUUUAGCGGAUGGACCAUCUAAGAUGUAGCCGCGGCCGAUAUUUGAUAGAGAUAAUCUUAAAAAGAUAAAAGCCGAAGAAUGUUGUUCCGAAUGAUAAUAAACAUUCUCCAUUAAAUUGGAAGUUUUUGGGUUUUUUCUUUGAAAAAGUAGGAUAUCUAGAAAUGGACAAACCCUUAAUGUGUUAAAAACAUAAGGAGAAUUUGAGUU